rnacentral:rRNA from 1 species
ACGCGUGGAACCUUACCAGGUCUUGACAUCCCACUGACCGCUAUGGAGACAUAGCUUUCCCUUCGGGGACAGUGGUGACAGGUGGUGCAUGGUUGUCGUCAGCUCGUGUCGUGAGAUGUUGGGUUAAGUCCCGCAACGAGCGCAACCCUUGUUCUUAGUUGCCAUCAUUUAGUUGGGCACUCUAAGGAGACUGCCGGUGACAAACCGGAGGAAGGUGGGGAUGACGUCAAAUCAUCAUGCCCCUUAUGACCUGGGCUACACACGUGCUACAAUGGACGGUACAAACGGUUGCCAACCCGCGAGGGGGAGCUAAUCCGAUAAAACCGUUCUCAGUUCGGAUUGUAGGCUGCAACUCGCCUACAUGAAGCCGGAAUCGCUAGUAAUCGCGGAUCAGCAUGCCGCGGUGAAUACGUUCCCGGGCCUUGCACACACUGCCCGU